rnacentral:rRNA from 1 species
UACGUAGGUGGCGAGCGUUGUCCGGAAUUACUGGGUGUAAAGGGCGUGUAGGCGGGAAUACAAGUCAGAUGUGAAAUACCGGGGCUUAACUUCGGGGCUGCAUCUGAAACUGUGUUUCUUGAGUGUCGGAGAGGAAAGUGGAAUUCCCAGUGUAGCGGUGAAAUGCGUAGAUAUUGGGAGGAACACCAGUGGCGAAGGCGACUUUCUGGACGAUAACUGACGCUGAGGCGCGAAAGCGUGGGGAGCAAACAGG